rnacentral:misc_RNA from 1 species
GUAGGUGAACCUGCGGAAGGAUCAUUGAAAAAUGCUGCCUCAUAGGCACUUUUUUUGUGGCUGCCCUCUAAAAGGGGCGCCACAUUUAAGCCACGUGUGAAUGGUUGAACUAAAGAACUGAUGAGCUUUGCUUUGAAUGUUCUGACGAUCCUAUUCUCACACUGCAUGUGCGCGCGAUAGCUGACCCUUUGGGUAAGCCAAUCACGUUCAUUCACUGUUUUCUUUUGUGUGACAGCAAAACACCUUAAAA